rnacentral:sRNA from 1 species
UUCCUUGAGGUCAAUGAUCCAGGGGAACCCUCAGGGCUGGAGACUCUGAAAGACACACCGCCCCCACGGCUCAUCAAGUCACACCUGCCCCUGGCUCUGCUCCCUCAGACUCUGUUGGAUCAGAAGGUCAAGGUGGUCUAUGUUGCCCGAAACCCAAAGGACGUGGCGGUCUCCUACUACCAUUUCCACCGUAUGGAAAAGGCGCACCCUGAGCCUGGGACCUGGGACAGCUUCCUGGAAAAGUUCAUGGCUGGAGAAGGUGGGCUUGACUGGAGGAAGGAGGGUGUGAAGCCGAGGGGUGGUGGCUAUAACGUACAGCAACCCUGUGUCGGUGCCCCCUGCCCGCUUCUCUAGUGUCCUACGGGUCCUGGUACCAGCACAUGCAGGAGUGGUGGGAGCUGAGCCGCACCCACCCUGUUCUCUACCUCUUCUAUGAAGACAUGAAGGAGAACCCCAAAAGGGAGAUUCAAAAGAUCCUGGAGUUUGUGGGGCACUCCCUGCCAGAGGAGACCAUGGACUUCAUGGUUCAGCACACGUCGUUCAAGGAGAUGAAGAAGAACCCUAUGACCAACUACACCACCGUCCCCCAGGAGCUCAUGGACCACAGCACCUCCCCCUUCAUGAGGAAAGGCAUGGCUGGGGACUGGAAGACCACCUUCACCGUGGCGCAGAAUGAGCGCUUCGAUGCGGACUAUGCGGAGAAGAUGGCAGGCUGCAGCCUCAGCUUCCGCUCUGAGCUGUGAGAGGGGCUCCUGGAGUCACUGCAGAGGGAGUGUGCGAAU